CUUGACGACUAUAGAGCAUUGGAACCACCUGAUCCCAUCCCGAACUCAGCAGUGAAACGAUGCAUCGCCGAUGGUAGUGUGGGGUUU
rnacentral:rRNA from 1 species